AGCCUGCAGACACAGAGGACUGAAUCCUGACGGAGGACAACAGAAAACUCUUUGUGUCCACAGACCUGGUCCAGACAGCAGAGAGCUGCAGAGUGAUGAAGUCCAUGAGAAGAAACUGAGAGGCUGCAGGUUAUCACCAACAUGAAAAGGUAUCACACUCAACACUUGACAUCACAUUUGAUCCUGUUUCACCUUCAACAUGUUCAUCAACUCUCUGUUUCCUGUUUCUCUGCUCUCUCACCUCAACACUGACUCAUAAUAAACCUGUAAAUGUACUCAAA